CGGGAGAGGUGGGCACGGGGAAUAAAUAAAAUACCUGAACCGCGGUUAAACCUCUGCUUGGGGGAGCGUCGGGCAUAAUAAAGGUUUAAACAGCGAGGGAUUCUUGACGCUUGAAGUCACUUUGCAGCCGCGUCCCUCUUGGAUUUGUUUUGUUUUGCAGAACAAUGAGGGCAGGAUGGCGGGAUGAAUGCUGCCAUUGUGCUUUGUCCUGCUGCUUUCCUUGGGAAAACUCCAAGCUCCCUUUUGUUCCGCCUCACCCUCGCAUCUGCUGAUCCCCACAGCGAGCAAGGAUUUGGGGAAGGACACCAGAACGAGUGGUGGCCAUCCCAAAAAUCAGCAAUAAUGGUGUUUGUGGGUGAGCAAAGAUUGUUUCUUUUCAGCUGCCAUGACUUUUGUGUGGCUACACCUCACGGCUUAAAGUGGUUCUUUAAACACCAGACAGGUGUUGAUGCUGCUUUUGAGAGAAAUGUGUGAAAUAAAGAUCCAACCCUGA